UGAGUAACACGUAUCCAACCUGCCCUUUACUCGGGGAUAGCCUUUCGAAAGAAAGAUUAAUACCCGAUAGCAUAAUGAUUCCGCAUGGUUUCAUUAUUAAAGGAUUCCGGUAAAGGAUGGGGAUGCGUUCCAUUAGGUUGUUGGUGAGGUAACGGCUCACUCAGCCUUCGAUGGAUAGGGGUUCUGAGAGGAAGGUCCCCCACAUUGGAACUGAGACACGGUCCAAACUCCUACGGGAGGCAGCAGUGAGGAAUAUUGGUCAAUGGGCGCUAGCCUGAACCAGCCAAGUAGCGUGAAGGAUGAAGGCUCUAUGGGUCGUAAACUUCUUUUAUAUAAGAAUAAAGUGCAGUAUGUAUACUGUUUUGUAUGUAUUAUAUGAAUAAGGAUCGGCUAACUCCGUGCCAGCAGCCGCGGUAAUACGGAGGAUCCGAGCGUUAUCCGGAUUUAUUGGGUUUAAAGGGAGCGUAGGUGGACUGGUAAGUCAGUUGUGAAAGUUUGCGGCUCAACCGUAAAAUUGCAGUUGAUACUGUCAGUCUUGAGUACAGUAGAGGUGGGCGGAAUUCGUGGUGUAGCGGUGAAAUGCUUAGAUAUCACGAAGAACUCCGAUUGCGAAGGCAGCUCACUGGACUGCAACUGACACUGAUCUAAGAAAGUGUGGGUAUCAAACAGGAUUAGAUACCCUGGUAGUCCACACAGUAAACGAUGAAUACUCGCUGUUUGCGAUAUACAGUAAGCGGCCAAGCGAAAGCAUUAAGUAUUCCACCUGGGGAGUACGCCGGCAACGGUGAAACUCAAAGGAAUUGACGGGGGCCCGCACAAGCGGAGGAACAUGUGGUUUAAUUCGAUGAUACGCGAGGAACCUUACCCGGGCUUAAAUUGCAGUGGAAUGAUGUGGAAACAUGUCAGUGAGCAAUCACCGCUGUGAAGGUGCUGCAUGGUUGUCGUCAGCUCGUGCCGUGAGGUGUCGGCUUAAGUGCCAUAACGAGCGCAACCCUGCUAGGCUGUUACUAACAGGUUAUGCUGAGGACUCUAGAGAGACUGCCGUCGUAAGAUGUGAGGAAGGUGGGGAUGACGUCAAAUCAGCACGGCCCUUACGUCCGGGGCUACACACGUGUUACAAUGGGGGGUACAGAAGGCAGCUCAGGGGUGACCGUAUGCUAAUCCCAAAAUCCUCUCUCAGUUCGGAUCGAAGUCUGCAACCCGACUUCGUGAAGCUGGAUUCGCUAGUAAUCGCGCAUCAGCCACGGCGCGGUGAAUACGUUCC
rnacentral:rRNA from 1 species